AAAUUUGGUAACCAAGCCAACAUACUUAUUUCAAUCAUGCUAUAAAAAUUGCAAAGCAAAAUAUUACAGGAGUAGAGAAAACCACUCAUCAGCAUAUAAAACAUAGAUCUAAGUUCAGUUUGCAAGAGAUUAAUUCUCUAGUUCAACUAUUUAAAGAGAAUCAUCCAACCAAUAGAAGCUAACAUGCGUUAAGUAUAAAUCACCACAACUUGAUUCCUCGUGUUGAUAAAAUUCUCUUUAUGCUAAAGAAGUAGCUACUUGUGAAGUAGAGAAGCCAAGUUCGACUCGACAUCUUCAUUGGCUUUGUGAUCAAAUGACUCAUCACCAAUAUAUAGGUCUAGGAUUGAUCUGCAUAAGAGUUUGCUUUGUAUGCUUCCCACUUCCUUUCCAUCAAUUGUUGUGUGGAGUAUGUAGUCAUGAUCUCUGGAGAGUUCAAUGAUAGAUCCCCGAGGUAAUUUAAUUUCAUCCUUAAACUGGGAAGUGAACCUUUGAAGCAAUUCCUUAUUAUCACAUCCCCCAAACUUAUGUAAUCUGCUGCCAACAGAUUCUUCGAAAGCACUGCGCACAGAAUUAAUGCUUAGCCUGCCAUAGACUAUUUGAAGCCUGAUAGUCAUGCGUAUAUUGUUUUCCAUGAGAUGAUUUCUCAACUCUUCCUUUUGCUGCAGUUCAGAAACAGAGCGCCGUCCAUGCUUCUCAGCCAGAUACCUCUUUACAUCAACAUCAUCAGCAUACACACCAUAAGCAUAGACAUCAAUGUUUUUCAAUCCAAAAACCGCCUUUUUACGCAGCCCAAUUCCAAGGAGUCGCUGAGUAUCUUUCAGAAUUGAGGGGAAUGCCAUUCCGGUCCUCGAUUCAGUGACCGGAGCUGAGUUAUCUGCUAGAGAAACAGAACCCCACAAAGGGGAUGAAUGAUUUUUGUUAGGUGAGAAAUUGGAAAGUAGAAAAUUCAUAGCAUUUUCCAGAAACGGAUUUUUGGGGCUUUGAGUUAUGGCAAUGAUCGCUCCGGCGGCAGCGAGGGCUGAACCUCCGGACGCGACGGCGACAGCGACGGUGGAGAAGGAGCGAGAUGGAGCAUCUGAAGUGGCGGAAGACGGAGUCUUGUGGGGCUGAGGAAACAAGAAUGGAAAACGA
rnacentral:misc_RNA from 1 species